rnacentral:rRNA from 1 species
GAUGAACGCUAGCGGCAGGCCUAAUACAUGCAAGUCGAACGGUAAGUAUGGUAGCAAUAUUAUACGAGAGUGACGUACGGGUGCGUAACACGUAUGCAACCUACCCUUUACAGGCGGAUAGCUCGGGGAAACUCGAAUUAACCCGUCAUAAUAUAAUUGGAUGGCAUCAUUUGAUUAUUAAAACUCCGGUGGUAAAGGAUGGGCAUGCGUCUGAUUAGUUAGUUGGCGGGGUAACGGCCCACCAAGACGAUGAUCAGUAGGGGAACUGAGAGGUUGAUCCCCCACACUGGCACUGAGAUACGGGCCAGACUCCUACGGGAGGCAGCAGUAGGGAAUAUUGGUCAAUGGAUGCAAGUCUGAACCAGCCAUGCCGCGUGCAGGAAGAAGGCCUUCUGGGUUGUAAACUGCUUUUGCCAGGGGAUAAAAUUUCCUUGCGAGGAAAAUUGAAGGUACCUGGUGAAUAAGCCACGGCUAACUACGUGCCAGCAGCCGCGGUAAUACGUAGGUGGCAAGCGUUGUCCGGAUUUAUUGGGUUUAAAGGGUGCGUAGGCGGCUUUGUAAGUCAGUGGUGAAAUAUGUCAGCUUAACUGAGAGGGUGCCAUUGAUACUGCAGAGCUUGAGUACAGAUGAGGUAGGCGGAAUUGACGGUGUAGCGGUGAAAUGCUUAGAUAUCGUCAAGAACACCUAUAGCGAAGGCAGCUUACUAGGCUGUAACUGACGCUGAGGCACGAAAGUGUGGGGAUCAAACAGGAUUAGAUACCCUGGUAGUCCACACUGUAAACGUUGAUUACUCGCUGUGUGCGAUAUACAGUACGCGGCCAAGCGAAAGCGAUAAGUAAUCCACCUGGGGAGUACGCCGGCAACGGUG